rnacentral:rRNA from 1 species
UACGUAGGGUGCGAGCGUUGUCCGGAAUUAUUGGGCGUAAAGGGCUCGUAGGCGGUCUGUUGCGUCGGAAGUGAAAACUCAGGGCUCAACCCUGAGCCUGCAGUCGAUACGGGCAGGCUAGAGUCCGGCAGGGGAGACUGGAAUUCCUGGUGUAGCGGUGAAAUGCGCAGAUAUCAGGAGGAGCACCGGUGGCGAAGGCGGGUCUCUGGGCCGGAACUGACGCUGAGGAGCGAAAGCGUGGGGAGCGAACAGG